rnacentral:sRNA from 1 species
CGGGGGGGGGGGGGGGGGGGGGGGAGGGCUUGUAUUUUUUUGGAAAAAAAAGUUUGUUUUAAGUUUUUGGAGAAAAAAAUAAUUUGUUUUUGAACCUGAGAAAAAAAAAUUGUUUGUUUUCACCCUCAGCUGCCAAAAAAAAGUUUGUCCAGAAAAAAAAAUCCAUAGCCCCCCCCCCCCCCCCCUUCCCCCCCCCCCCCCCCGCC